ACACCAGAAGAGGGCAUCAGAUCCCAUUACAGAUGGUUGUGAGCCACCAUGCGGUUGCUGAAAAUUGAACUCAAGACCUCUGGAAGAACAGUCAGUGCUCUUAACCCCUGAGCUAUAUCUCCAGCCCUGCUUUUUCAGUGUUUUGAUGUCACAACAAAAGGCUUUCCAUGCCAUGUUUUACUUAAAGUUUGUAGCUCAUGUCUACGAUACCAGCACUUGGGAGGUCAUGGCAGCAGGCAGGGGGAUUGCUAUAAUCCUGAAUCCAGCCUGGGCUCCAUAGUGAGAAUCUGUCCCCAAAACAACAGAAGUUUCCGGGAGAGUCAGAAGUGGCAAGUCAGUUGUGUGUUUUGCUGGGGCAAACAUGUGACGGAAUGUUUUCCUGAAGCAGACACAGGUGAAAGGAUGUUUUGCUAAAGCGAGCACGUAAGAGGACGUGUGAUGAAAGACCCUUCACUAACAACACAAAUGCACUGGUUCACCUUACACUGCAUAGGUGAACUCCGUCUGUUAUGCUUCCACAGAGAGAAAUGCAGCAAAAAAACUGGCGGAGUUCUGGCAACUUCUUGCUACUUCUGUGGAUUUGGGUCUAUUGGCAGAGUGACGUCUGCUGAUACGGACUCAUGUGGGGUUUUGCUAUGACUGAGGCAAAACGCAUGGAGGACACGUGAUGUUUGGAGGGAGUAUAAAAAGGACUCAAAGGACAGCGACUGGGGCUUACAUAGAC
rnacentral:lncRNA from 1 species